UAGACAAUAUCAAACCAUGAAUUGUACUAUAAUUAGAUUUAAAAAUAUUUUUACGAUGUCAGAAUUAUAAGAAAUGUGUUAAAAUUCAUGCAGGUUUAAAUUUAGUUUGACAGUGCUUUUAUUAAAUAAAUAGCCCGCUUGGAUCUUGAAGACCGAGACGGAGGG
rfam:Desulfosporosinus meridiei DSM 13257, complete genome.